CCUACGGGAGGCAGCAGUGAGGAAUAUUGGUCAAUGGACGCGAGUCUGAACCAGCCAAGUAGCGUGAAGGAUGACUGCCCUAUGGGUUGUAAACUUCUUUUAUAGGGGAAUAAAAUGUGCCACGUGUGGGAUGUUGUAUGUACCAUAUGAAUAAGGAUCGGCUAACUCCGUGCCAGCAGCCGCGGUAAUACGGAGGAUCCGAGCGUUAUCCGGAUUUAUUGGGUUUAAAGGGAGCGUAGGGGGUUUGUUAAGUCAGUUGUGAAAGUUUGCGGCUCCACCGUAAAAUUGCAGUUGAAACUGGCAGUCUUGAUUACAGUAGAGGUGGGCGGACUUCGUUUUGUAGCGGU
rnacentral:rRNA from 1 species